ACCACUACUCAAGGUCCAUGGUGGGGAAACACCACUACUCAAGGUCCAUGGUGGGGAAAUAACUCUACUCAAGGUCCAUGGUGGGGAAACAACUCAACCGAAGGUCCAUGGUGGGGAAACAAUUCAACAGAAGG
rnacentral:misc_RNA from 1 species